rnacentral:rRNA from 1 species
AGAAUCAACGCUGGCGGCGUGCCUAACACAUGCAAGUCGCACGAGAAAGGGGAGCAAUCCCUGAGUAAAGUGGCGCACGGGUGAGUAACACGUGAAUGAUCUACCUCCGAGUGGGGAAUAACCAAAGAAAUUUUGGCUAAUACCGCAUAACACUUACGAGUCAAAGCAGCAAUGCGCUUGGAGAGGAGUUCGCGGCAGAUUAGCUAGUUGGCGGGGUAAUGGCCCACCAAGGCGAUGAUCUGUAUCCGGCCUGAGAGGGCGCACGGACACACUGGAACUGAAACACGGUCCAGACUCCUACGGAGGCAGCAGUGGGGAAUUUUGCGCAAUGGGGGAAACCCUGACGCAGCAACGCCGCGUGGAGGAUGAAGCCCCUUGGGGUGUAAACUCCUUUCGAUCGGGAAGAUAAUGACGGUACCGAUAUAAGAAGCCCGGCUAACUUCGCGCCAGCAGCCGC